UACGUAGGGGGCGAGCGUUAUCCGGAUUUACUGGGCGUAAAGCGCGUUAAGGCGGUUGGCAAAGUUGGUUGUGAAAUCUCAGGGCUCAACCCUGAAAUUGCGACCAAUACUGGUCGACUAGAGUGCAAGAGAGGAAGGUGGAAUUCCCGGUGUAGUAGUGAAAUGCGUAGAUAUCGGGAGGAACACCAGUGGCGAAAGCGGCCUUCUGGCUUGCAACUGACGCUGUAGCGCGAAAGCGUGGGGAGCGAACAGG
rnacentral:rRNA from 1 species